UGGAAUGCAACCGGGUGUUCAAUCGUCCCACGCGUAGCAGCCGCGACUCCCGAGUGUCGAGCUGCUGUGCGGGGUGACGAUGGUUCUGAGAAAUACCGGCCGAACUUGAUCUGGAUAAUACCAGCGAAAGGACCUGCAUCUUCCCUCCCU
rnacentral:ncRNA from 1 species